GCAUGCCUUACACAUGCAAGUCGAACGGCAGCGGGGGUAGCUUGCUACCUGCCGGCGAGUGGCGAACGGGUGAGUAAUACAUCGGAACGUGCCCUGUAGUGGGGGAUAACUAGUCGAAAGACUAGCUAAUACCGCAUACGACCUGAGGGUGAAAGUGGGGGACCGCAAGGCCUCAUGCUAUAGGAGCGGCCGAUGUCUGAUUAGCUAGUUGGUGGGGUAAAGGCCCACCAAGGCGACGAUCAGUAGCUGGUCUGAGAGGACGAUCAGCCACACUGGGACUGAGACACGGCCCAGACUCCUACGGGAGGCAGCAGUGGGGAAUUUUGGACAAUGGGGGCAACCCUGAUCCAGCAAUGCCGCGUGUGUGAAGAAGGCCUUCGGGUUGUAAAGCACUUUUGUCCGGAAAGAAAUCGCUUCGGUUAAUACCUGGAGUGGAUGACGGUACCGGAAGAAUAAGGACCGGCUAACUACGUGCCAGCAGCCGCGGUAAUACGUAGGGUCCAAGCGUUAAUCGGAAUUACUGGGCGUAAAGCGUGCGCAGGCGGUUGUGCAAGACCGAUGUGAAAUCCCCGGGCUUAACCUGGGAAUUGCAUUGGUGACUGCACAGCUAGAGUGUGUCAGAGGGAGGUAGAAUUCCACGUGUAGCAGUGAAAUGCGUAGAGAUGUGGAGGAAUACCGAUGGCGAAGGCAGCCUCCUGGGAUAACACUGACGCUCAUGCACGAAAGC
rnacentral:rRNA from 1 species